rnacentral:rRNA from 1 species
GACGAACGCUGGCGGCGUGCCUAAUACAUGCAAGUGGAACGCUGAAGAGAGGAGCCUGCUCUUCUUGGAUGAGUUGCGAACGGGUGAGUAACGCGUAGGUAACCUGCCUUGUAGCGGGGGAUAACUAUUGGAAACGAUAGCUAAUACCGCAUAACAAUGGAUGACACAUGUCAUUUAUUUGAAAGGGGCAAUUGCUCCACUACAAGAUGGACCUGCGUUGUAUUAGCUAGUAGGUGAGGUAAUGGCUCACCUAGGCGACGAUACAUAGCCGACCUGAGAGGGUGAUCGGCCACACUGGGACUGAGACACGGCCCAGACUCCUACGGGAGGCAGCAGUAGGGAAUCUUCGGCAAUAGGGGCAACCCUGACCGAGCAACGCCGCGUGAGUGAAGAAGGUUUUCGGAUCGUAAAGCUCUGUUGUAAGUCAAGAACGGGUGUGAGAGUGGAAAGUUCACACUGUGACGGUAGCUUACCAGAAAGGGACGGCUAACUACGUG